AACGAACGCUGGCGGCAUGCCUAACACAUGCAAGUCGAACGAGACCUUUCGGGCUCUUGUGGCGCACGUGCGUAACACGUGUGGACAUCUCCUUAGAUUCUCGGAAACACAGUGAGAGAGGUCCGCAAAUCCCGGAUUAUGUUCGUAACAACAAAGAUUUAUCUCCUGAUGGUGGGCCCGCGUAGGAUUAGCUAGUUGGUGUGGUAAAGGCGCACCAAGGCGACGAUCCUUAGCUGGUCUGAGAGGAUGAUCAGCCACACUGGGACUGAGACACGGCCCAGACUCCUACGGGAGGCAGCAGUGGGGAAUAUUGGACAAUGGGCGAAAGCCUGAUCCAGCAAUGCCGCGUGAGUGAUGAAGGCCUUAGGGUUGUAAAGCUCUUUUACCCGGGAUGAUAAUGACAGUACCGGGAGAAUAAGCUCCGGCUAACUCCGUG
rnacentral:rRNA from 1 species